AUCCGGGUUGCGGACAGUGUCUGGUGGGUAGUUUGACUGGGGCGGUCUCCUCCUAAAGAGUAACGGAGGAGCACGAAGGUUGGCUAAUCCUGGUCGGACAUCAGGAGGUUAGUGCAAUGGCAUAAGCCAGCUUGACUGCGAGCGUGACGGCGCGAGCAGGUGCGAAAGCAGGUCAUAGUGAUCCGGUGGUUCUGAAUGGAAGGGCCAUCGCUCAACGGAUAAAAGGUACUCCGGGGAUAACAGGCUGAUACCGCCCAAGAGUUCAUAUCGACGGCGGUGUUUGGCACCUCGAUGUCGGCUCAUCACAUCCUGGGGCUGAAGUAGGUCCCAAGGGUAUGGCUGUUCGCCAUUUAAAGUGGUACGCGAGCUGGGUUUAGAACGUCGUGAGACAGUUCGGUCCCUAUCUGCCGUGGGCGCUGGAGAACUGAGGGGGGCUGCUCCUAGUACGAGAGGACCGGAGUGGACGCAUCACUGGUGUUCGGGUUGUCAUGCCAAUGGCACUGCCCGGUAGCUAAAUGCGGAAGAGAUAAGUGCUGAAAGCAUCUAAGCACGAAACUUGCCCCGAGAUGAGUUCUCCCUGACUCCCUGAGAGUCCUGAAGGAACGUUGAAGACGACGACGUUGAUAGGCCGGGUGUGUAAGCGCAGCGAUGCGUUGAGCUAACCGGUACUAAUGAACCGUGAGGCUUAACCUU
rnacentral:rRNA from 1 species